UAGGAUUCACCAUAAGUAAUGUAAAUAGUCUAAAGCAUCAAUUAACUUACUUCAUUAAGCUCACAGCUAUUACCACCACACCAUUAUUUCUUUUUUUUUUCCUUUUAAUUACAUUUAUUUUAAUGCUGAAUUUACUCCCGUGCCAUAAGUUUUUGUUUCUUCAGUUUCUUCUGGGAUAUCUUUUUCUUCUGGGCAACCUCCUCUUCUGGUUUAGGAACAAUCUGUUCCUUUUCAGUAAAGAUCAUCUCAAUGUGGCAGGAAGAGCUCAUGUAUGGGUUAAUCCAUGAGCUCUGUAGGUCUGUUGAUGCAUCUUAGGUGCUUUGUUCACUUGGAUAUGCUCAAUGACCAGAGAAUCUACCCUUAAGUUCAGCAUUACUCUCUGUGUUUUUAAGCACGUGCAGCAAAAAUUCAGCACUCUUUUUGGGCCACCGACCUUGUGGCCCAAACAGGCUAAGUGGUGAGCAUUUUAGUUAAGAAGGGAUAAAAAAACAGGCUAAGUGGUGAGCAUUUUAGUUAAGAAGGCCCAGUGUUGUUAUGCAGGACUUUCCGUUAAAAAAAAAAAAAAACGAAAUAUUUUAACUCAAGUAGGUUUAAUUCACCACAGAAGAGCUAAGAGAAAAGAGAGGGGGUUGGUAAAAUACAGUAUACUUUCUUUAAAAAAGACUUGGGAGGAAAAAAAUCAACUUAGAAGAUCAUAUGAAAGGGCAAUCACAUGGAACCCAGUUAGUGUCCUAGUUUAUUACUAGUCUUCAGAUCCAGAAAACAGAGUAAGACACUAGGUAAACAGAACACCUAGACACAUCUGUAAGGCAUUUGUUUCCUAUCACACGGCCCAUUCUAGCUUAACACCCACCAACUGAGAUGUAGUGAAAUACUAAAAUUGGAUGCUCAAAUUAUGUUUUUAUCCAACCAAAAAGUUCUUUAAAUAUAAAAUUCCUCACUUUAAACUCUUCUGUGAUACCAACAGAACUUUAAGGUUUUACAUAUGCAAUAUGAUGAUUUCGUGUUACUUUUAAAAGAACCCACAAAGUAAGCAAUUGUCCACAGAUGAAACAUGGGAUGAGGUUCAUGACUGAAUCAAUCAUGGAGUGUUAGUCAAUUGUAAACUCCUGAAAGUUAAGACUAGGAAAUGUGUAUAUCAGACACAUAAGAGUACAACAAUAGGAGAAAAAGGGAAGCCUGUUUGUCAUUCCAAUUCUGACAAGGUACAAGGUCUUCGAAAUUCUUGUCCACGUUCAUGGAGCCAUUUAUUGGAUACUG
rnacentral:lncRNA from 1 species